AGAGUUUGAUCCUGGCUCAGAACGUACGCUGGCGGCACGCCUAACACAUGCAAGUCGAACGCAGUAGCAAUACUGAGUGGCAAACGGGUGAGUAUAAUGUGGGAAUCUGCCUUUUGGUCUGGAAUAACACGAGGAAACUUGUGCUAAUACCGGAUAAGCCUUCACAGGGAAAGUUUUAAUGCCAAAAGAUGAGCCCGCACUUGAUUAGCUAGUUGGUAAGGUAAUAGCUUACCAAGGCAACGAUCAAUAGCUGUUCUUAGAGGAAGACCAGCCACAUUGGGACUGAGACACGGCCCAAACUCCUACGGGAGGCAGCAGUGGGGAAUCUUGCACAAUGGGGGAAACCCUGAUGCAGCGAUGCCGCGUGAGUGAAGAAGGCCUUUGGGUUGUAAAACUCUUUCGUCGGGGAAGAAAAUGACUGUACCCGAAUAAGAAGGUCCGGCUAACUUCGUGCCAGCAGCCGCGGUAAUACGAAGGGACCUAGCGUAGUUCGGAAUUACUGGGCUUAAAGAGUUCGUAGGUGGUUAAAAAAGUUGAUGGUGAAAUCCCAAGGCUCAACCUUGGAACUGCCAUCAAAACUUUUUAGCUAGAGUAUGAUAGAGGAAAGUGGAAUUUCUAGUGUAGAGGUGAAAUUCGUAGAUAUUAGAAAGAACAUCAAAAGCGAAGGCAACUUUCUGGAUCAUUACUGACACUGAGGAACGAAAGCAUGGGUAGCGAAGAGGAUUAGAUACCCUCGUAGUCCAUGCCGUAAACGAUGUGUGCUAGACGUUGGAAACUUAGUUU
rnacentral:rRNA from 1 species